rnacentral:rRNA from 1 species
AGUGAACGCUGGCGGUAGGCCUAACACAUGCAAGUCGAACGGCAGCACAGUAAGAGCUUGCUCUUACGGGUGGCGAGUGGCGGACGGGUGAGGAAUACAUCGGAAUCUACUUUUUCGUGGGGGAUAACGUAGGGAAACUUACGCUAAUACCGCAUACGACCUACGGGUGAAAGCAGGGGAUCUUCGGACCUUGCGCGAUUGAAUGAGCCGAUGUCGGAUUAGCUAGUUGGCGGGGUAAAGGCCCACCAAGGCGACGAUCCGUAGCUGGUCUGAGUGGAUGGUCGGCCACCCUGGAACUGGGACACGGUCCAGACUCCUGCGGGAGGCAGCAGUGGGGAAUAUUGGGCAAUGGGCGCAAGCCUGGUCCAGCCAUACCGCGUGGGUGACGAAGGCCUUCGGGUUGUGAAGCCCUUUUGUUGGGAAAGAAAAGCAGCAGGUUAAUACCCCGCUGUUCUGACGGUACCCAAAGAAUAAGCACCGGCUAACUUCGUG